rnacentral:rRNA from 1 species
UACGAGGGGGGCAAGCGUUGUUCGGAAUUAUUGGGCGUAAAGGGCGCGUAGGCGGUGCGGUAAGUCACCUGUGAAAACUCUGGGCUCAACUCAGAGCCUGCAGGCGAAACUGCCGUGCUUGAGUGUGGGAGAGGUGCGUGGAAUUCCCGGUGUAGCGGUGAAAUGCGUAGAUAUCUGGAGGAACACCGGUGGCGAAGGCGGCAUCCUGGCCAACACUGACGCUGAUGAGCGAAAGCCAGGGGAGCAAACGGG